UUUAAAAAAUGACUUUUUGAUUUGUCAAGUUUCACGAGUGUCGCCAUGUUUGCAGCGUUUGACCGUGUCGUUGACAACGCAUGCAAGAGUUCAUCAGCACACUGCGGGACGCUGACGCAGGCAAGGACGCGAAAUGUUGCCAGAUCAUGUUACGAGGGAUGACAUGAACCUAAAACAAACGCGAAUCAAAUUCAAAUCCUGUCUUUUACUAAUUAAACGAAAAGCAACAACCCUUAUCCGCAUUUUUUCCCUUUAUUGAUUUCCUAAAGUGCCCCUCAUAGGUGGAAUUAAACAUGCCCAAAUACGUAAAUUAUACCAGGACCAGGCAACAAUUAUACGCGGAUGUAUGACACCAAGUGGGGGAAUUUCGGAUGCAGAGGCAUAUGCAGUACAAGGCGUCCUACAAGUUCUCGACAAUACAGAUAACCACUGACAGACGCCAGCCAAUUUGCUGUCCCGCUGCACCAGAGCAAAGCGCUAGAAAUAUGGGCAGAGGAGUGACCCUUUGGCUGUGUCGCCCAUCCAUCCGAACCCGGUGGUGGGCUGGCCACCGUGGUAAUUGCCUGCGAAACAGUGUUUUGACAAGCCAGACGGGUGUAAGCCAUCAUUCUAGCAGCACGGUGAUGAGGUGUCACCUGAAGAGAGCUGUUGAGAGCCCACAUGUUUACAUGCAGCCAGUGUGGUUCCAUAGAGACAGCAGUAAUCCAUUAAGAAGGGGGCUGAUCCUGCGAGGGGUUUGAUGAAGUUGAGGCUCCUCUGCCCCAUGCAGAAGGGCAUUUAGUGCUGCCGGCCCCACUGCUUUUGUGCAGGGAUACAUCACCUGCAUGCUCCUCCAUGCUGUUUCAUCAUAGCUCCUCUCUCUUCAAACUAUUUCCAACGCCUCCAACUGGGCUGACCACCAGAAAACUUAUAUCAUAUUAUGAUACAUCUACUCCCUAUCCGGACCCACCAUCUCAAUACAAGGCCAAACCAAACCACGUACGGUUACAAGGUCAGUGAUGAGAACCGGCUUCACAGACUGGGAUUAAUUUUCCUUUUUACAGUUGCUUUUUAUGGUUGCCUGUCUUUUGUUUCAUGUGCUCUGGCGGUGCGGAGCUGUUCUAAGUAGGCAGCACUUCAUUAGGUCAGCCUGCAGGCGUGAAGGUUCCACUCAUUACUGCACACUGUACCUCCAGCGCCCCGCAUCUGAUGGAGCUUAAUGGGAUUGAGCGUGGACUUAAGGACCUGAUUGAGGCCAUUUUCCAAUUCCUCGAUAAUUAAUAUAGUCAGACAUUUCGAAAAUAUUAUUGGUCUUGAGUCAGUGGUCUUCAGGAGGAACUUCUGCUGACCAAGCAGUCUCUCUCUCUUUGUCUACUUCCUGUCUGCAAGUCUCUCAGCAUCUCUCUAUCAAAUUUUCUCACUCACAUACUCACCGUUCUUCAGGCAUUUCAGAACCAGGAAGAACGCAUAGGCGAGCGGGGUGAAAAGGUAAAUUAGGUUGUCAUGCUAAUGUAGUGUCAGGUGACUGUGUAAUUGAAUGCAUAAGGGAGGCAGUGGAAGCAGGUUGAACUUGACCCAGCUAAAACGAGCUGACCUUGAACCUCCCUCCCCCUUUUGCCACUCCUCGCAGACCCACUUGCACCGGCGGUUGCCGAUCCACGCUCACGUUGGCCUCGAGAUCCACGAGCUAGAGGUCAGCAAAUUAAGCCAAUAAAUCUCUCCGCCUCUCUGCGGCUGUAGACAUCGCUUACAUUAAACUGGGCCGUUUGCACACUUUGACUCGUCUUAAUGUAAAUGCAGCAAGAGUUUCUUAAAGAUUGGGUUAAAUGAAAUCAACUUUCAUUUUCUAAUGCAA